UAUGUGAUCGUCUCUCGCAUAUCAAUAAGCGGAGGAAAAGAAACUAACAAGGAUUCCCCUAGUAACGGCGAGUGAAGCGGGAAGAGCUCAAAUUUGAAAUCUUAAAGGGUUUCCCUUUACGAAUUGUAGUUUAAAGAAGUGUUUUCUGUUGAGGUUUUGGUAAAAGUUCUUUGGAAUAGGACAUCAUAGAGGGUGAGAAUCCCGUAUUUGACCUUUACUUUCAACUUUGUGAUACACUUUCAAAGAGUCGGAUUGUUUGGGAAUGCAGUCCAAAAUGGGUGGUAAAUUUCAUCUAAAGCUAAAUAUUGGCGAGAGACCGAUAGCGAACAAGUACCGUGAGGGAAAGAUGAAAAGAACUUUGAAAAGAGAGUUAAACAGUACGUGAAAUUGUCAAAAGGGAAGCGUUAGGACACCAGUGUUGUUUUUCUGAAAAUCAAUUAAAGAACUGUUUAUGCUAAGUUGUUUAGACUUUAUCAGCUAACUGUUUAGUUUUGAGCUUUUCUUUAAUGCACUUUUCAGUUAACAAGUCAACAUCAAUUUCUUUUGCUGUAAAAAAGCUUGAGGAAGGUGGCUUGAGAUUCGUCUUAAGUGUUUAUAGCCUCUUGCCUAUGCAGUCGGAGAGAUUGAGGUCUGCAGCGUAGAUCCUUCGGGGCUAAAUGCAUUUGUGCUAAGUUAUAGCAUUUUAUAGACAACUUGUUGACUAUGAUUUGUCUUGUAGCUUACUCGCUUAUGUUAUUUUACCUACGCUUAGGAUGUUGAGCGCAUGUCUCUCUCU
rnacentral:rRNA from 1 species